UAAUUGAAGAGUUUGAUCAUGGCUCAGAUUGAACGCUGGCGGCAGGCCUAACACAUGCAAGUCGAGCGGCAGCACGAGGGAGUUUACUCCUGAGGUGGCGAGCGGCGGACGGGUGAGUAAUGCCUAGGGAUCUGCCCAGUCGAGGGGGAUAACAGUUGGAAACGACUGCUAAUACCGCAUACGCCCUACGGGGGAAAGAGGGGGACCUUCGGGCCUCUCGCGAUUGGAUGAACCU
rnacentral:rRNA from 1 species